GGAUUUGAUCCUGGUUCAGGACUAACGCUUGCGGUACGCCUAAUGCAUGCAAGUCGAGCGAGAUAUUUUCACUUGAACGAUUACUAACUUGUUAGUUUGAAUUCUCCGAAGAGAUCUAGCGGCGAACGGGAGAGUAACAGGUGGGUACCUGCCCAGAAGAUCGGGAUAGAGGACCGAAGGGUCCAGUAAUACCGGAUAAUAUUUUUCGAAAUCAAAUGGUGGUCGAAUCAUGGCCUCCGCUUUUGGAUGGGCCCGCUUCCUAUCAGCUCGUUGGUGGGGUAAAAGCCUACCAAGGCUACGACGGGUAGUCGGCUUGAGAGAGUGACCGGCCUCAUGGGGACUGAGACACGGCCCUGACUCCUACGGGAGGCAGCAGCAGGGAAUUUUGCGCAAUGGACGAAAGUCUGACGCAGCGAUACCGCGUGUGGGAUGAAGGUGCUACGCAUUGUAAACCACUGUCAGGAGGGAAUAAGGGUAAGUGCAGGAAAUGGCAUUUAUUUGAAGGUACCUCGUAAGGAAGCCCCGGCUAACUACGUGCCAGCAGCCGCGGUAAAACGUAGGGGGCGAGCGUUGUCCGGUAUUACUGGGCUUGAAGCGUUUGUAGGCGGUUCAAAAAGUCCAUAGUGAAAGCUCUCAGCUCAACUGAGAAAUUGCUAUGGAAACUAAUGGACUGGAGGACAGUAGAGGUCUGUGGAACUCAAGGAGUAGCGGUGAAAUGCGUAGAUAUCUUGAAGAACACCAGAGAGGAAGCUGACAGGCUGGGCUGUAUCUGACGCUGAGAAACGAAAGCUAGGGGAUCGAACCGGAUUAGAUACCCGGGUAGUCCUAGCCGUAAACGAUGAUUGCCAAAUGUCGGCUUUUUUGUCGGCGUUGCAGAGAAAUCCAUGAGCAAUCCGCCUGGGGAGUACGGCCGCAAGGCUAAAACUCAAAGGAAU
rnacentral:rRNA from 1 species